AUGAGCUUGGAUGACAGAGACAUGAUCCUGGAUGUGGCCUGCUCUGUUGUGAAUGUAUCAGCCACCGAGCCUGAUGGAAAUGUGGUUGUAUACUGCACCGGCAUCAUCACCGAGUAUGACGAGGUCGGUAAGUGCGCAAAAGUCUUGUCUUCUUCUAGCAUCAUGUGCAGCGAGGAGGGCAAGCUGCGAGACCCAAAUCAGAAGGUAUCAGUUCACCUGUCAAAUGACACUGUUGUGGAGGCACGUGUGUUGUUUUUCAAUGACCACUAUGGCGUUUCUUUUCUGGAUAUCAACACGGAGUUUCCUUUGGUGCCGGCUACUUUGGGCUCUAAACCAUACUAUGGACAAAAUGUGUUUGUCUUAGAUAGAGAUGAUGAGUAUGCUUUGGUUGUUAGCCACGGUUCGAUUCUGUAUUUGGAGAAACCUUUAUUUGAAAGGAACCACUACAUGUUUGCCAGCUAUAAUAGCUCUUUGACUUGCAUAUGUGGGCCGGUAAUUGACAAUAAUGGCGAGGUUAUAGGGCUGAUUACUUCACAUCUCCCACAAUCAGCCAUUUUAUCUAUCUCCAUAGUGAAAAAGUGCAUCCAGAUGUGGAAUAAAUUUGGCCGCAUUGCUCAUCCUAUUCAUCACCUUGAGCUAAAGACUGCGGAUGUUGGAUACGGUUUACAGAGAUGA
rnacentral:rRNA from 1 species